rnacentral:snRNA from 1 species
UUAUUGAGUAUAGACCCAGCAUAAUUGAAAUGAUACAGAGAACAUAAAUUUGACCCCUGCUCAAGGUUGACACACAGAUUCAUGAAGCAUUCCAUAUUUUG